rnacentral:rRNA from 1 species
AAUAUCACUAUUAGCGAACCGCAAGGUUCACUUUCUGGACUUAAGCCGCCCCUCGCGGGAGGCGAUCCGAGUCGAAGACACCGUCAGAUUGGGGCGGCAAAUCUUUCAAAUGAUAACGCAGGUGUCCUAAGGUGAGCUCGAUGAGAACAGAAAUCGCAUGUACAACAAACACUUGAACAAAGGGUAAAAGCUCACUUGAUUUUGAUUUUCAGAAUGAAUACAAACCGUGAAAGCGUGGCCUUUCAAUCUGCUUGAGUUUUAAGCAAGAGGUAUCAGAAAAGUUACUACAAGUAUAACUGGCUUGUGCCAGCCAAGCGUUCACAUCGCUUUUUGAUCCUUCGAUGUCGGCUUUUCCUAUCACUGCGCAGCAGAAUUCCCCAAGUGAUGGAUUGUUCACCCACCAAUAGGGAACUUCAGCUGGGGUUUGACCGUCGUGAGACAGGUUAGUUUAUUUACCCUACUGAUAAAGUGUUUCUGGUCAAAACGACAGGAACCCCAGAUUCAGACAAUUGGUAAUUAUACUUGGCUGAAAAGCCAAUGGUACGAAGCUACCAUUUCGUGGAUUAUGACUAAACGCAUAUCAAUGACAUCACAAUCAAUCCAGGUUCCUGUAACCCACCGGAAGUGAAAUUUCACGUUUUAGCGACUGACAUUAAAACACGGGGAAGAAAAAUCGCAAUCGAAAUCUUUUUUUUUUUUUUUUCUCCUACACUCAUUAGCACAUUGU